GAUGAACGCUGGCGGCGUGCCUAAUACAUGCAAGUCGAGCGAACAGACGAGGAGCUUGCUCCUCUGACGUUAGCGGCGGACGGGUGAGUAACACGUGGAUAACCUACCUAUAAGACUGGGAUAACUUCGGGAAACCGGAGCUAAUACCGGAUAAUAUAUUUAACCGCAUGGUUCAAUAGUGAAAGACGGUUUUGCUGUCACUUAUAGAUGGAUCCGCGCGGCAUUAGCUAGUUGGUAAGGUAACGGCUUACCAAGGCAACGAUGCGUAGCCGACCUGAGAGGGUGAUCGGCCACACUGGAACUGAGACACGGUCCAGACUCCUACGGGAGGCAGCAGUAGGGAAUCUUCCGAAAUGGGCGAAAGCCUGACGGAGCAACGCCGCGUGAGUGAUGAAGGUCUUCGGAUCGUAAAACUCUGUUAUUAGGGAAGACCAAAUGUGUAAGUAACUAUGCACGUCUUGACGGUACCUAAUCAGAAAGCCACGGCUAACUACGUG
rnacentral:rRNA from 1 species